AGAGUUUGAUCCUGGCUCAGAUUGAACGCUGGCGGCAGGCCUAACACAUGCAAGUCGAACGGUACAGGAAGAAGCUUGCUUCUUUGCUGACGAGUGGCGGACGGGUGAGUAAUGUCUGGGAAACUGCCUGAUGGAGGGGGAUAACUACUGGAAACGGUAGCUAAUACCGCAUAACGUCGCAAGACCAAAGAGGGGGACCUUCGGGCCUCUUGCCAUCGGAUGUGCCCAGAUGGGAUUAGCUAGUAGGUGGGGUAACGGCUCACCUAGGCGACGAUCCCUAGCUGGUCUGAGAGGAUGACCAGCCACACUGGAACUGAGACACGGUCCAGACUCCUACGGGAGGCAGCAGUGGGGAAUAUUGCACAAUGGGCGCAAGCCUGAUGCAGCCAUGCCGCGUGUAUGAAGAAGGCCUUCGGGUUGUAAAGUACUUUCAGCGGGGAGGAAGGGAGUAAAGUUAAUACCUUUGCUCAUUGACGUUACCCGCAGAAGAAGCACCGGCUAACUCCGUGCC
rnacentral:rRNA from 1 species